rnacentral:rRNA from 1 species
GACGUAGGGGGCCAGCGUUGUUCGGAAUUACUGGGUGUAAAGGGUUCGUAGGCGGUGUGGCAAGUCGGGAGUGAAAUCUCUGGGCUCAACUCAGAGACUGCUUCCGAAACUGCUGUGCUGGAGUGUGGGAGAGGCGCGUGGAAUUGCAGGUGUAGCGGUGAAAUGCGUAGAUAUCUGCAGGAACACCCGUGGCGAAAGCGGCGCGCUGGACCACUACUGACGCUGAAGAACGAAAGCUAGGGGAGCAAACAGG